rnacentral:rRNA from 1 species
AUCUCAGUUCGGAUUGUAGUCUGCAACCCGACUACAUGAAGCUGGAAUCGCUAGUAAUCGCAGAUCAGAAUGCUGCGGUGAAUACGUUCCCGGGUCUUGUACACACCGCCCGUCACACCAUGGGAGUCAGUAACGCCCGAAGCCGGUGACCCAACCAAUUCAGGAGGGAGCCGUCGAAGGUGGGACCGAUAACUGGGGUGAAGUCGUAACAAGGUAGC